rnacentral:rRNA from 1 species
AUUGAACGCUGGCGGCAUGCCUUACACAUGCAAGUCGAACGGUAACAGGUCUUCGGAUGCUGACGAGUGGCGAACGGGUGAGUAAUACAUCGGAACGUGCCCGAUCGUGGGGGAUAACGCAGCGAAAGCUGUGCUAAUACCGCAUACGAUCUACGGAUGAAAGCGGGGGAUCUUCGGACCUCGCGCGGACGGAGCGGCCGAUGGCAGAUUAGGUAGUUGGUGGGGUAAAGGCUCACCAAGCCUGCGAUCUGUAGCUGGUCUGAGAGGACGACCGGCCACACGGGGGCUGAGACACGGCCCAGACUGCUACGGGAGGCAGCAGUGGGGAAUUUUGGACAAUGGGCGCAAGCCUGAUCCAGCCAUGCCGCGUGCAGGAUGAAGGCCUUCGGGUUGUAAACUGCUUUUGUACGGAACGAAAAGUCUCUUUCUAAUAAAGAGGGAUCAUGACGGUACCGUAAGAAUAAGCACCGGCUAACUACGUGCCAGCCGCCGCCGUAA